CCCUUAGAUGUUCUGGGCCGCACGCGCGCUACACUGAUGCAUUCAACGAGCCUAGCCUUGACCGAGAGGUCCGGGUAAUCUUUGAAACUACAUCGUGAUGGGGCUAGAUUAUUGCAAUUAUUAAUCUUCAACGAGGAAUGCCUAGUAAGCGUGAUUCAUCAAAUCGCGUUGAUUACGUCCCUGCCCUUUGUACACACCGCCCGUCGCUCCUACCGAUUGAGUGUGUUGGUGAGGAGUUCGGAUUGGCUCUUAGUGGUGGUUCGCCACCACCUAGAGCUGAGAAGUUCUCCAAACCGCCCCACUUAGAGGAAGGAGAAGUCGUAACA
rnacentral:rRNA from 1 species